AGGAGAUCUGUGAAGACCCAAAGUUCAUCGUGGGGGGUGCAGACAGGACGGACAUCUGCCAAGGACAGCUGGGUGACUGCUGGCUCCUGGCAGCCAUCGCGUCCUUGACCCUCAAAAAAGAUGCCAUGGCCCGAGUCGUGCCCCCCAACCAGGACUUUGACAACAGAUACGCCGGCAUCUUUCACUUCCAGUUCUGGAAUCACAACCAAUGGCUGGACGUGGUGGUGGACGACCGGCUGCCGGCAGUCAGG